rnacentral:rRNA from 1 species
GACGAACGCUGGUGGCGUGCUUAACACAUGCAAGUCGAACGGAAAGGCUCUGCUUGCAGGGUGCUCGAGUGGCGAACGGGUGAGUAACACGUGGGUGAUCUGCCCCUUACUUUGGGAUAAGCCUGGGAAACUGGGUCUAAUACUGGAUAGGACCAUGCUGUAGGUGGUGUGGUGGAAAGAUUAGUUUCGGUAAGGGAUGAGCUCGCGGCCUAUCAGCUUGUUGGUGGGGUAAUGGCCUACCAAGGCGUCGACGGGUAGCCGGCCUGAGAGGGUGGACGGCCACAUUGGGACUGAGAUACGGCCCAGACUCCUACGGGAGGCAGCAGUGGGGAAUAUUGCACAAUGGGCGCAAGCCUGAUGCAGCGACGCCGCGUGGGGGAUGACGGCCUUCGGGUUGUAAACUCCUUUCAGCCAUGACGAAGCCCUUGUGGUGACGGUAGUGGUAGAAGAAGCACCGGCUAACUACAUG